UGGCUCAAUUAGAACUGUUGCAUCUUUUACUGGAGAGAAGCGGGCCAUUAGUGUUUACAACAAGUAUCUCCAAAUUGCUUACAAAUCAGGUGCACACGAAGGCUUUGCUUCUGGAGUAGGUAUUGGCAUAGUCAUGUUAGUUGUAUUCAGUAGCUAUGCCAUGGCUGUGUGGUUUGGCGCAAAGAUGAUAUUAGAAAAAGGAUAUAGUGGAGGACAAGUUAUUAAUGUGAUUGUUGCCGUGUUGACUGGUUCGAUGUCCCUGGGGCAGACAUCCCCUUGUAUGAGCGCAUUUGCUUCUGGUCAAGCCGCAGCGUAUAAAAUGUUUGAGACUAUUGAUAGGAAGCCAGAAAUAGAUGCUUAUGAUACAAGUGGAAGAGUAUUGGAUGACAUUCAUGGAGAUAUAGAAUUGAAAGAUGUAUAUUUCAGUUAUCCAGCUAGACCGGAUGAGGAGAUAUUCAGUGGAUUCUCUCUUUCCAUCCCAAGUGGC
rnacentral:misc_RNA from 1 species